UGGGGAAUUUUGGACAAUGGGCGAAAGCCUGAUCCAGCAAUGCCGCGUGUGUGAAGAAGGCCUUCGGGUUGUAAAGCACUUUUGUCCGGAAAGAAAUCCUUGGCUCUAAUACAGUCGGGGGAUGACGGUACCGGAAGAAUAAGCACCGGCUAACUACGUGCCAGCAGCCGCGGUAAUACGUAGGGUGCAAGCGUUAAUCGGAAUUACUGGGCGUAAAGCGUGCGCAGGCGGUCCGCUAAGACAGAUGUGAAAUCCCCGGGCUUAACCUGGGAACUGCAUUUGUGACUGGCGGGCUAGAGUAUGGCAGAGGGGGGUAGAAUUCCACGUGUAGCAGUGAAAUGCGUAGAGAUGUGGAGGAAUACCGAUGGCGAAGGCAGCCCCCUGGGCCAAUACUGACGCUCAUGCACGAAAGCGUGGGGAGCAAACAGGAUUAGAUACCCUGGUAGUCCACGCCCUAAACGAUGUCAAC
rnacentral:rRNA from 1 species